AGCUACGUAUCUUCUUAGAAACAGGAAUUCACUCGUGCCUGAGAAAUCAGCUCCAUUUUUGUGUCCACAGUUGCAUCUCCUGUGAUCUUAAAAGGACAGAGGGAUGGGGAAAUUCCUGAGAGUGUUCUUUGUGACUCUGUGGCUUCAUGUGGCAAGGGUGAACAGCCAACAAGGAGAAGAGAAAACUCACACUCUGAGCAUCCAACCUGGUGAAAAUGCCACCAUGAACUGCAGUUACAAAUCUAGCAUAACUGUCCUGCAGUGGUACAGACAGGAUUCUGGCAGAGGACCCACCAUGCUAAUUUUAAUAAGGUCAAAUGAGAGAGAGAAAAUCAGUGGACGGCUAAGAAUCACCCUGGACACCUCUGCUAGAAGCAGUUCCCUGUCCAUCUUGACUUCCCAGCCAGAAGACACUGCUGUUUACUUCUGUGCCACAGAUGCACAGUGUUCAGUGUGCACCUGCAGCCUGACUCUAACCUCACCAGAGCUUCUGCCUAAAGGCCUUAGCACUGAGAGAGCUGUGUUAUGUCUUCCUAUGAGUGAGAGUGUAAGAUAAGUAUGUGGAAUCCUCUCCUACUGAUGUUUUUUGGAAAUACCUGAAAUUUUGCCAAGGUCUAGAAUGUGGAAUGGGGAAAUGAAAUAUCAGGCUCAGAUAUGGCCCUCCUGCCAGCUGACCUCAAGCUCAUCUUCAGUGCAAUGGCCUUCUAAGUUCUCAAUUGUUGUGAAGGGCAAGGAUUCCUAAGUACCAACUAUUCUCGAUUUAUGUUCAGGUUACCUAAGAAAGGGAAGCCCUGGGUACUUGGUGUGUGUGAGCAAGGACUGCUCAAGAC